GACCCUGUAGCUCAGCUGGUUAGAGCAGGCGACUUUUAAUCGUCAGGUCGAGGGUUCGAAUCCCUCCGGGGUCA
rnacentral:tRNA from 1 species